AACGCGAAGAACCUUACCUGGGCUCGAAAUGUAGUGGACCGGAGUAGAAAUAUUCCUUCUCAGCAAUGGGCCGCUAUAUAGGUGCUGCAUGGCUGUCGUCAGCUCGUGUCGUGAGAUGUUGGGUUAAGUCCCGCAACGAGCGCAACCCUUAUCCCCAGUUGCCAUCAUUUAGUUGGGCACUCUGGUGAAACCGCCUCGGAUAACGGGGAGGAAGGUGGGGAUGACGUCAAGUCCUCAUGGCCUUUAUGUCCAGGGCUACACACGUGCUACAAUGGCCGGUACAGAGGGCUGCUAUCCCGCGAGGGUGAGCGAAUCCCAAAAAGCCGGUCUCAGUUCGGAUUGCAGUCUGCAACUCGACUGCAUGAAGUCGGAGUCGCUAGUAAUCCCGGAUCAGCAACGCCGGGGUGAAUACGUUCCCGGGCCUUGUACACACCGGAGUA
rnacentral:rRNA from 1 species